rnacentral:rRNA from 1 species
AACAGGAUUAGAUACCCUGGUAGUCCACGCCGUAAACGGUGGGCGCUAGGUGUGGGGACUGGUUCCACGGUUUCCGUGCCGUAGCUAACGCAUUAAGCGCCCCGCCUGGGGAGUACGGCCGCAAGGCUAAAACUCAAAGGAAUUGACGGGGGUCCGCACAAGCGGCGGAGCAUGUGGAUUAAUUCGAUGCAACGCGAAGAACCUUACCUGGGUUUGACAUGCACUGGAUCGCCCUAGAGAUAGGGUUUCCCUUGUGGCUGGUGCACAGGUGGUGCAUGGCUGUCGUCAGCUCGUGUCGUGAGAUGUUGGGUUAAGUCCCGCAACGAGCGCAACCCUUGCCCCAUGUUGCCAGCGGUUCGGCCGGGGACUCGUGGGGGACUGCCGGGGUCAACUCGGAGGAAGGUGGGGAUGACGUCAAGUCAUCAUGCCCCUUAUGCCCAGGGCUUCACACAUGCUACAAUGGCCGGUACAGAGGGUGGCGAGACCGUGAGGUGGAGCGAAUCCCAGAAAGCCGGUCUCAGUUCGGAUCGGGGUCUGCAACUCGACCCCGUGAAGUCGGAGUCGCUAGUAAUCGCAGAUCAGCAAUGCUGCGGUGAAUACGUUCCCGGGCCUUGUACACACCGCCCGUCACGUCAUGAAAGUCGGUAACACCCGAAGCCCAUGGCCCAACCCCCGUUUGGGGGAGGGAGUGGUCGAAGGUGGGACUGGCGAUUGGGACGAAGUCGUAACAAGGUAACC